rfam:Canis lupus familiaris chromosome 8, whole genome shotgun sequence.
CAUGCACAUUAUUAGAGCUUGGAGUUGAGGCCUCUGACUGGCCAAUGAGCUUGCAAGUGUAGGUAGUGUGCUACUAGAGGGGCAAGUCUUUCAGUAACACCACAGGGGUCUCUGAUCCAAUGAGUAGAGUUUGAUUGUAAUUCUUGCUACAAGU